UACGUAGGGUGCAAGCGUUGUCCGGAAUUAUUGGGCGUAAAGAGCUCGUAGGCGGUCUGUCGCGUCGGCUGUGAAAACUCGGGGCUCAACCCCGAGCCUGCAGUCGAUACGGGCAGACUAGAGUGCGGUAGGGGAGACUGGAAUUCCUGGUGUAGCGGUGAAAUGCGCAGAUAUCAGGAGGAACACCGGCGGCGAAGGCGGGUCUCUGGGCCGUAACUGACGCUGAGGAGCGAAAGCGUGGGGAGCAAACAGG
rnacentral:rRNA from 1 species